CUCAAAAAAUUCCAGCCGCCACAGCUUCCCUGCCUCUUCUUCUUCACGGCGCAACAGCCAGCGCGCAGGGAGUCGAGCUCCCUCUCUGUCCAUGGCGCUCGGCAGCAGGCGCGCCUCGUCCUCCCAUGGCCGCCAAGCUCCCUCAACGCCGGCGUCCUCCUCUCCUCCCCAUGGCUGCAGCAGGCGCCCAGCUCUUCUUCUCCAGCGCAUACCCUCCAGGCAUGGCGGCAGCUCCUCCUCCCUCUGUUUCUUACCGCAGGAGCUGGAGCUCCCUGGAAUCAUGCCGACGCCCUUGAUCUCCUCUUGGCCGCGACCUCCUCUGCCCCUUUAUCCAUGGCCGCCAGCAGCCCUUCCAUGGCCAGCACCCCUCCUGCUCGGCCACACCAUCGGCUGGCCAUGGCGUCCAGGACUCCCUGCGCCCUUUCCCCACUGCAUCUGCCUCCCUCUGCUCUUUCCCUUUGGAGGUGCUGCGCCAUAGCUCUGAUCCGAGGUCGCCCCCUGCUCGCGUCAAGGGUGGCCAGCCCCUGCUGUUGCUGACCAUGGCUGCCCAGCAGCAGGAGACUUUCUCCCCUCGGCUCCCCCAUCCGAGCACCCAAACAGUGCCCCUCCCUGCUCCAUUUUUGUUGUUCCUGCGCCCUCCUCUGCACACAGCGAGCCCCUCCUCGCUGUUCUCUGUGGUACCCGCCGGCUGUUCGUGAAAAUGUGCAGCAAGCCGCAUGCUGCCGGCUCGCUGUUUCGUGAAGCCCGGUAGACAGCACGCCGUGACGCUCGCCGGGCGUUUGCUAUUUUUGGCGCAGACCCGCUCGCGAUGUCAUCGACCCUCGCCACCGUCAAAGUCGCGCUCCGCGCUUGGCCGUUCGACGAAAUGCCAAGCCUUACGGACAGCCCAUGUGACUAGCCUCGAUUCGUCCAGGUUGUUCACUUGGUAUUUUGUGGAUUAAUCUGUUUAAGCUUUGGUCUAUGUUGUGCAUGUGUAAGAAAAUGUAUUUGUAUGGAUUGAAGUUCGUGGCGAAAGAAAAAGAAGUAGAAAGGAACUCGAACGUUUUUAUAUUUCGAUAGGAAUAUAUGCGAUGUAUUGUUUGAUGUGUGCGAUUUGUAGUUUUUUUUAUAAUUAUAUUUUGGUCGAUGUGGUGGGCAUUGGUGUUGGAAGGUGUGUGGGCAUAAAAUGUUUUGGUCA